AAUUGUAUGAUAUACUGAACAUUGUAGAAAAGUUAUGACGGUGGCUACUUCCGAAGGGUGGUGGUGCUUAUGCAAGUAAGUACUAAAAUCUACGAAAGGAGAAAGCCUUUUGUCUGCAUUAGAAACAAUUCAAUUGAUUCUAAGUUUUGGUAUGUUUACCAUGACUUUGAUUAAAU
rnacentral:sRNA from 1 species